rnacentral:lncRNA from 1 species
AAAAGGAGGAGGAGGAGGAGAGGGAGAGAGAACAGACAGAGCGAGAGACGGAGGGUGACAGACAAAAGAAAGAGAAGCCACAUGAAAUGCAGCCCACUCAGAGCCUAAUAAUCCGCAUUAAGCAGACGCCUAAUGGCUUUCGCAGGUCUCGCUGUGAAGAACAUCUAUUCCUAUCACAAUGCUGCCUCCGCACCUCGCGGUGACAGGGACCUGCCUGGCUGGGUUAGAGAGGCACGGGGCGGCGGGGGGAGACAGCAGGAGCUCACACAGGCCUUUAACCGCAGUCCUGCUGCCGUUUUUGGGGGGCACGUCUAUCGCUGUCACCGCGGUGUCCGGCCGCUGGAAAUCCGGGCGGAAUGCAAGCCGAAUCCUUAUCCUGCCGCGCGAGAGGCCGGGAAGCCCAGCAGCCAAGCAUUAGGAAGAGGAGGACAGCACAUGAGGCGACCAUCCACUGGCCACAAGCGACCUGCUUGA